rnacentral:rRNA from 1 species
AACGAACGCUGGCGGCAUGCCUAACACAUGCAAGUCGAACGAGACCUUCGGGUCUAGUGGCGCACGGAUGCGUAACGCGUGGGAAUCUACCCUUGGGUUCGGAAUAACAGUUAGAAAUGACUGCUAAUACCGGAUGAUGACGUAAGUCCAAAGAUUUAUCGCCGAGGGAUGAGCCCGCGUAAGAUUAGGUAGUUGGUGGGGUAAAGGCCUACCAAGCCGACGAUCUUUAGCUGGUCUGAGAGGAUGAUCAGCCACACUGGGACUGAGACACGGCCCAGACUCCUACGGGAGGCAGCAGUGGGGAAUAUUGGACAAUGGGCGAAAGCCUGAUCCAGCAAUGCCGCGUGAGUGAUGAAGGCCUUAGGGUUGUAAAGCUCUUUUACCAGGGAUGAUAAUGACAGUACCUGGAGAAUAAGCUCCGGCUAACUCCGUGCCAGCAGCCGCCGUAA